rnacentral:tRNA from 1 species
GGACUCAUAGCUCAGUUGGUUAGAGCACUACGUUUACACCGUAGGUGUCGGGGGUUCGAAUCCCUCUGGGUCCA